rnacentral:tRNA from 1 species
GUCGAUGCCCACGAGUCGCGUGAACGGGGUGUCGAAGACGAUUGCCAUGGCCAUCUCCUCUUCAUCGUCACGAUACGCGACGGGCCCACUGACUCUGGAUCAGGAGAUCGAAGGUUCGAAUCCUUCCUCGCCA